AGGGCGCACGGUGAAUGCCUUGGCACUAGGAGCCGAUGAAGGACGGGACUAACACCGAUAUGCUUCGGGGAGCUGUAAGUGAGCUUUGAUCCGGAGAUUUCCGAAUGGGGAAACCCACUGUUCGUAAUGGAACAGUAUCUUUAUCUGAAUACAUAGGAUAUUGAAGGCAGACCCGGGGAACUGAAACAUCUAAGUACCCGGAGGAAGAGAAAGCAAAUGCGAUUUCCUGAGUAGCGGCGAGCGAAACGGAAUUAGCCCAAACCAAGAGGCUUGCCUCUUGGGGUUGUAGGACACUCUAUACGGAGUUACAAAGGAACGAAGUAAAUGAAGCGACCUGGAAAGGUCCGUCGAAGAAGGUAACAACCCUGUAGUUGAAACUUCGUUCCCUCUUGAGUGGAUCCUGAGUACGGCGGAACACGUGAAAUUCCGUCGGAAGCUGGGAGGACCAUCUCCCAAGGCUAAAUACUACCUAGUGACCGAUAGUGAACCAGUACCGUGAGGGAAAGGUGAAAAGCACCCCGGAAGGGGAGUGAAAGAGAUCCUGAAACCGUGUGCCUACAAGUAGUCAGAGCCCGUUAAUGGGUGAUGGCGUGCCUUUUGUAGAAUGAACCGGCGAGUUACGAUCCCAUGCAAGGUUAAGCUGAUAAGGCGGAGCCGUAGCGAAAGCGAGUCUGAAUAGGGCGUUUAGUAUGUGGUUGUAGACCCGAAACCAGGUGAUCUACCCAUGUCCAGGGUGAAGUUCAGGUAACACUGAAUGGAGGCCCGAACCCACGCACGUUGAAAAGUGCGGGGAUGAGGUGUGGGUAGCGGAGAAAUUCCAAUCGAACCUGGAGAUAGCUGGUUCUCUCCGAAAUAGCUUUAGGGCUAGCCUCAUGUUGUGAGAGUCUUGGAGGUAGAGCACUGAUUGGACUAGGGGCCCCCAACGGGUUACCGAAUUCAGUCAAACUCCGAAUGCCAAAGACUUAUCCAUGGGAGUCAGACUGCGAGUGAUAAGAUCCGUAGUCAAAAGGGAAACAGCCCAGACCACCAGCUAAGGUCCCCAAGUAUACGUUAAGUGGAAAAGGAUGUGGAGUUGCUUAGACAACCAGGAUGUUGGCUUAGAAGCAGCCACCAUUUAAAGAGUGCGUAAUAGCUCACUGGUCGAGUGACUCUGCGCCGAAAAUGUACCGGGGCUAAACGUAUCACCGAAGCUGUGGAUUGACAUCUUUGAUGUCAGUGGUAGGAGAGCGUUCUAAGUGCAGCGAAGUCAGACCGUAAGGACUGGUGGAGCGCUUAGAAGUGAGAAUGCCGGUAUGAGUAGCGAAAGACAAGUGAGAAUCUUGUCCACCGAAUGCCUAAGGUUUCCUGAGGAAGGCUCGUCCGCUCAGGGUUAGUCGGGACCUAAGCCGAGGCUGAAAAGCGUAGGCGAUGGCCAACAGGUUGAUAUUCCUGUACCACCUCCCCGCCGUUUGAGUAAUGGGGGGACGCAGUAGGAUAGGGUAAGCGCGCUGCUGGAUAUGCGCGUUCAAGCAGUUAGGCUGAUGAGUAGGCAAAUCCGCUCAUCAUAAAGGCUGAGCUGUGAUGACGAGGGAAUUAUAGUACCGAAGUUCCUGAUUCCACACUGCCAAGAAAAGCCUCUAGCGAGGCGGGAGGUGCCCGUACCGCAAACCGACACAGGUAGGCGAGGAGAGAAUCCUAAGGUGAUCGAGAGAACUCUCGUUAAGGAACUCGGCAAAAUGACCCCGUAACUUCGGGAGAAGGGGUGCUCUGGUAGGGUGUAUAGCCCGAGAGAGCCGCAGUGAAUAGGCCCAGGCGACUGUUUAGCAAAAACACAGGUCUCUGCGAAGCCGCAAGGCGAAGUAUAGGGGCUGACGCCUGCCCGGUGCUGGAAGGUUAAGAGGAGGGGUUAUCCUUUGGGAGAAGCUCUGAAUCGAAGCCCCAGUAAACGGCGGCCGUAACUAUAACGGUCCUAAGGUAGCGAAAUUCCUUGUCGGGUAAGUUCCGACCCGCACGAAAGGCGUAACGAUCUGGGCACUGUCUCAACGAGAGACUCGGUGAAAUUAUAGUACCUGUGAAGAUGCAGGUUACCCGCGACAGGACGGAAAGACCCCGUGGAGCUUUACUGUAGCCUGAUAUUGAAUUUUGGUACAGCUUGUACAGGAUAGGUAGGAGCCUGAGAAGCCGGAGCGCUAGCUUCGGUGGAGGCGUCGGUGGGAUACUACCCUGGCUGUAUUGAAAUUCUAACCCGCGGCCCUGAUCGGGCCGGGAGACAGUGUCAGGUGGGCAGUUUGACUGGGGCGGUCGCCUCCUAAAAUGUAACGGAGGCGCCCAAAGGUUCCCUCAGAAUGGUUGGAAAUCAUUCGUAGAGUGUAAAGGCACAAGGGAGCUUGACUGCGAGACCUACAAGUCGAGCAGGGACGAAAGUCGGGCUUAGUGAUCCGGUGGUUCCGCAUGGAAGGGCCAUCGCUCAACGGAUAAAAGCUACCCCGGGGAUAACAGGCUUAUCUCCCCCAAGAGUCCACAUCGACGGGGAGGUUUGGCACCUCGAUGUCGGCUCAUCGCAUCCUGGGGCUGUAGUCGGUCCCAAGGGUUGGGCUGUUCGCCCAUUAAAGCGGUACGCGAGCUGGGUUCAGAACGUCGUGAGACAGUUCGGUCCCUAUCCGUCGUGGGCGUAGGAAAUUUGAGAGGAGCUGUCCUUAGUACGAGAGGACCGGGAUGGACACACCGCUGGUGUACCAGUUGUCUUGCCAAAGGCAUCGCUGGGUAGCUAUGUGUGGACGGGAUAAGUGCUGAAAGCAUCUAAGCAUGAAGCCCCCCUCAAGAUGAGAUUUCCCAUAGCGCAAGCUAGUAAGAUCCCUGAAAGAUGAUCAGGUUGAUAGGUCAGAGGUGGAAGCGUGGCGACAUGUGUAGCUGACUGAUACUAAUCGAUCGAGGACUUAACC
rnacentral:rRNA from 1 species